GAUGAACGCUAGCGGCAGGCUUAAUACAUGCAAGUCGUGGGGCAGCAUGAGUAGCAAUACUUGAUGGCGACCGGCAAACGGGUGAGGAACACGUACACAACCUUCCUUCAAGCGGGGAAUAGCCCAGAGAAAUUUGGAUUAAUACCCCAUAAUAUAUUUGAUAAGGCAUCUUAUUAAUAUUAAAGCUUCGGCACUUGAUGAUGGGUGUGCGGCUGAUUAGAUAGUUGGCGGGUAACGGCCCACCAAGUCUACGAUCAGUAGCUGAUGUGAGAGCAUGAUCAGCCACACGGGCACUGAGACACGGGCCCGACUCCUACGGGAGGCAGCAGUAAGGAAUAUUGGACAAUGGACGAAAGUCUGAUCCAGCCAUGCCGCGUGAAGGAUUAAGGUCCUCUGGAUUGUAAACUUCUUUAUAUGGGACGAAAAAAGGGCAUUCUGUUCACUUGACGGUACCAUAUGAAUAAGCACCGGCU
rnacentral:rRNA from 1 species